rnacentral:rRNA from 1 species
UACGGGGGGGGGCAAGCGUUGUUCGGAAUUACUGGGCGUAAAGGGCGCGUAGGCGCCUACUAAGUCAGACGUGAAAUCCCCCGGCUUAACCUGGGAACUGCGUCUGAUACUGGAAGGCUUGAGUAUGGGAGAGGGAUGUAGAAUUCCUGGUGUAGCGGUGAAAUGCGCAGAUAUCAGGAGGAACACCGAUGGCGAAGGCAGGUCUCUGGGCAUUAACUGACGCUGAGGAGCGAAAGCAUGGGGAGCGAACAGG